UGUAAAAUAAAAAUAAAAAAACUAAAAAAUAAGUACAAAAACAAGGAAAAAUAAAAUCACCAAAGCAUAGCAUCUUCUUCCUCCUCUCUUCCCCGCCAUCACCACCCGCAAAAUAACUAACAACUGUUCCAAUCAAACUAUUAGCUAUUCGAAAACCUAGAAAACAAAGAGUGACAAAGGAAACAAACACCAAGAAUAGCAGUUGUUGCCUCUCUCAAGCCACAUCAACAAAAAUCUUUGACGUGAACCAGUAGCGUUGAAAAUCAUGGCAUUGACUCCUUUAUGAGUUCUCCAGGCAAAAUCAAGUGCACAAACACAAAAGACUCUUGGUCAAACCAAAUCAAGGAAAAGUUUCCAACUGACAUCCCACCCCAAGAUCCAUCAUCACUACCAGGAAUACUUUCAAGACAAGAAAGAAGGAAAGGUUGGUUGGUGUCUUGGUGAGGUUCCAUGUGCGGGUGUGGUAGAAAUUGGUGUUUGAAAGAUGGUGGCGUCAGCUGCAACAAGAAUAUGGUGUGAUGCAAAAGCCAUUGAAGAAUCAAAUUGGUGAUUUUAGGGUUUGUGAAAUUGGAAAGAAGUUGUGUUUUUUGGGUGGGUUCAUGGUUGACUUGGAUAAGAUUCAAAGUUUCGGUUUCUAGUUCUUUCUUUUUCCUUUCUUUCAGUUUUGUUUGUCAGAGCAAAAUUUAAUUUUAUGUUGUCGCAUAACAAACAUGAAUGAUAAAACUUAUGGUGUUUGGAACUUGGAAGUGCGGUCGGGUGUAUUUUUUAAAUUUUGAUUUUUUUUUA